GAGGGUAUAGCUCAGUGGUAAAGCACAUACUUAGCAUGCAUGUGGUCCUGGGUUCAAUUCCCAGUACUCCA
rnacentral:tRNA from 1 species